GAGCCAGCUUUGACAACCCCCUCGGGUCCCCUUCCACAGUGUGGAAGCUUUGUUAUUUCGCUCUUUGCAAUAAAUCUUGCUACUGCUCACUCUUUGGGUCCACGCUACUUUUAUGAGCUGUAACACCCACCGUGAAGAUCUGCAGCUUCACUCCUGAGCCCAACGAGCCCACGAGCCCACUGGGAGGAACCAACAACUCCAGACGUGCUGCCUUAAGAGCUGUAACACUCACCGUGAAGGUCUGCAGCUUCACCCCUGAGCCAGUGAGACCACGAACCCACCAGAAGGAAGAAACUCCAAACACAUCUGAACAUCAGAAGGGACAGACUCCAGACGCGCCACUUUAAGAGCUGUAACACUCACCGCGAGGGUCCGCGGCUUCAUUCUUGAAGUCAGUGAGACCAAGAACCCACCCAUUCCGGACACACCAUCAUCAUAAUCUAUGUCACAGUGAUUGAUUUACUGCAUAUGAGCAGAAUGAACCUGGACCUGGCCAGUAUCAUUAAGGGUCUCACUUCAUCACCUAGACUGGAGUACAGUAGCACAGUUGCAGCUUCCUACAUCUUGACUUCCUGGGUUCCAGUGAUCCUCCCCCUUCAGCCUCUCAGCAGAGAGAGAAAGAAAGCAGAGCUCUUUGAAGCAGAGAAAGAAAGCAGAAAGCAGAGAUCUUUGAAGGCUUAAGAAACCAUAAGGAGUUUUGGAGAGUCAAUGCAUGAUGAUCUCUGAAGAUUCUACUGAAAUCUAAUCAAUAUGUCCUCACUGCCAUCAAUUCAAAAGAACUUGCUAAGAAGGCUCUAGAGGCUUGUACUCUCAGAUAGUGAAAGUGAGAUGAUGUGUAGUGAAAGUCAUAUAUAGGUUGUAAAUUGCAAUAUGGAAUUCCCAAAUGCUGAAUUCAUUUUAUCUCUUCGGAAAUAAAAACCUGUUAAAGACUCAUU
rnacentral:lncRNA from 10 species